GGGGAUUUAGCUCAGUGGUAGAGAGCUUGCCUAGCAAGCACAAGGCCCUGGGUUCGGUUCCCAGCUCCG
rnacentral:tRNA from 1 species